AACUGAGUAGUUUAGUUUAUGUAAAACGUUUGAUUGUUAAUCAUACAAAGGGUUUUCCCCUCAGUUA
rnacentral:tRNA from 1 species